rnacentral:ncRNA from 23 species
UGCCGUCUGAAUUUCACGGGUGCCUCAGUCUGAGGAGAAUAGGGAAUCGGGUGCAAGUCCCGAGCGGUCCCGCCACUGUAAAGGGUGAGCAUUUGCCAAAACCACCGCCGGCUGCGUCGGGAAGGGGUAAAUUGCGAUGAGCCUAAGCCAGGAGACCUGCCUGUGAAAACGAAACUCCC